GACGAACGCUGGCGGCGUGCUUAACACAUGCAAGUCGAACGAUGAAGCUGGAGCUUGCUCCGGUGGAUUAGUGGCGAACGGGUGAGUAACACGUGAGCAAUCUGCCCUUGACUCUGGGAUAACUGCGGGAAACUGUAGUUAAUACCGGAUACUUUCACUGGAAGGCAUCUUCUGGUGAAGAAAGAAUUUCGGUCAAGGAUGAGCUCGCGGCCUAUCAGCUUGUUGGUGAGGUAACGGCUCACCAAGGCGACGACGGGUAGCCGGCCUGAGAGGGUGACCGGCCACACUGGGACUGAGACACGGCCCAGACUCCUACGGGAGGCAGCAGUGGGGAAUAUUGCACAAUGGGCGCAAGCCUGAUGCAGCAACGCCGCGGGAGGGACGAAGGCCUUCGGGUUGUAAACCUCUUUUAGCAGGGAAGAAGCGAAAGUGACGGUACCUGCAGAAAAAGCACCGGCUAACUACGUGCCAGCCGCCGCGGUAA
rnacentral:rRNA from 1 species